rnacentral:rRNA from 1 species
UACGUAGGUGGCAAGCGUUGUCCGGAUUUAUUGGGUUUAAAGGGUGCGUAGGCGGCCUAUUAAGUCAGGGGUGAAAGACGGUGGCUCAACCAUCGCAGUGCCUUUGAUACUGAUGAGCUUGAAUACACUUGAGGUAGGCGGAAUGUGACAAGUAGCGGUGAAAUGCAUAGAUAUGUCACAGAACACCAAUUGCGAAGGCAGCUUACUAAGGUGCAAUUGACGCUGAGGCACGAAAGCGUGGGGAUCAAACAGG